rnacentral:rRNA from 1 species
UACGGAGGGGGGCUAGCGUUGUUCGGAAUUACUGGGCGUAAAGCGCACGUAGGCGGCUUUGUAAGUUAGAGGUGAAAGCCCAGGGCUCAACCCUGGAAUUGCCUUUAAGACUGCAUCGCUAGAAUUGUGGAGAGGUAAGUGGAAUUCCGAGUGUAGAGGUGAAAUGCGUAGAUAUCUGGAGGAACACCGGUGGCGAAGGCGGCAUCCUGGACCAAUUCUGACGCUGAGGAGCGAAAGCCAGGGGAGCAAACGGG